rnacentral:rRNA from 1 species
GGCGCACGGGUGCGUAACACGUGGGUAAUCUGCCCUGGAGUCCGGAAUAACUCGCCGAAAGGCGUGCUAAUGCCGGCUAAGACCACGGGAACUUCGGUUCCUGCGGGAAAAGGUGGCCUCUGUACACAAGCUAUCGCUUCAGGAUGAGCCCGCGGCCCAUCAGCUAGUUGGCGGGGUAAUGGCCCACCAAGGCUACGACGGGUAGCUGGUCUAAGAGGACGAUCAGCCACACUGGAACUGAGACACGGUCCAGACUCCUACGGGAGGCAGCAGUGGGGAAUCUUGCGCAAUGGGCGAAAGCCUGACGCAGCAACGCCGCGUGUGUGAUGAAGGUCUUCGGAUCGUAAAGCACUGUCGGGAGGGACGAAUAAGGCCGGCGCUAACAUCGCCGGCCGAUGACGGUACCUCCAAAGGAAGCACCGGCUAACUCUGUGCCAGCAGCCGCGGUAAUACAGAGGGUGCAAGCGUUGUUCGGAAUUAUUGGGCGUAAAGCGCGUGUAGGCGGCUCAGCAAGUCGGAUGUGAAAGCCCUCGGCUUAACCGAGGAAGGGCGUUCGAAACUACUGAGCUUGAGUG